rnacentral:rRNA from 1 species
ACGAAGGGGGCGAGCGUUAUUCGGAAUCACUGGGCGUAAAGCGUGCGUAGGCGGUCUUGAAAGUUGGAAGUGAAAGCCCAGGGCUCAACCCUGGAAUUGCUUUCAAAACUACAAGACUAGAAUUCAGGAGAGGAUAGCGGAAUUCCCAGUGUAGCAGUGAAAUGCGUAGAUAUUGGGAGGAACACCAGUGGCGUAAGCGGCUAUCUGGACUGACAUUGACGCUGAGGCACGAAAGCGUGGGGAUCAAACAGG